rnacentral:lncRNA from 1 species
GUUGAAUGGAGAGUUCAUCGCUACCGUUCAACAACGUGGAGCUGCUAUUAUCAAGGCCAGGAAGCUGUCUAGUGCACUCUCUGCAGCUAGCUCUGCUUGUGACCAUAUCCGUGAUUGGGUCCUUGGAACCCCCGAGGUUCUUUUCAAUUUCGAACCAGUUGAUUAUUUAUGUACUAAAUAAACUAUAAUAACUAAAAAUAUAUUGUUUGUUUAAUUUCUCAGGGCACAUUUGUUUCAAUGGGAGUAUACUCAGAUGGAUCAUACAACGUUCCCGCUGGACUUAUCUACUCUUUCCCCGUAACCUGCCGUAACGGAGAGUGGUCUAUUGUCCAAGGUAUACAUAUUUUUUCUCUUACCAAAGUAAAAACAAAAUGUUUUAAAAAUGUUGGUGAUUGCUGAUGUGUGUUGUUUGAUGUUGUUCAAAGGUUUACCGAUCGAUGAAGCAUCGAGGAAGAAAAUGGAUUUGACAGCAGAGGAGUUGAAGGAAGAGAAGGACCUUGCUUACUCUUGCCUCUCUUAGACCUGUUUUUAUCUGUGAAAGAUGAUAAAGGAGCUUUGUUUCGAAUAAUGAUGCUUGUUGUUAAACCUCAUGAGAUUAAGAGGGCUACUUGUUUUUCUAUU